rnacentral:rRNA from 1 species
CCAAACCCCUGUGAACAUACCUAUUUGUUGCCUCGGCGGUGCCUGUUCCGACAGCCCGCCAGAGGACCCCAAACCCUGAUUACAUUUAAGAAGUCUUCUGAGUAAACCGAUUAAAUAAAUCAAACUUUCAACAACGGAUCUCUUGGUUCUGGCAUCGAUGAAGAACGCAGCGAAAUGCGAUAAGUAAUGUGAAUUGCAGAAUUCAGUGAAUCAUCGAAUCUUUGAACGCACAUUGCGCCCGCUAGUAUUCUGGCGGGCAUGCCUGUCCGAGCGUCAUUUCAACCCUCAAGCCCCCGGGCUUGGUGUUGGGGAUCGGCGAGCCUCCGCGCCCGCCGUCCCCUAAAUCUAGUGGCGGACACGCUAGGUCUCCGAGCGCAGUAGUUUCUCCUCGCUCAGGGCGUCCGGCGUGGGC